rnacentral:rRNA from 1 species
GCGCAGCAGGCGCGAAAACUUCGCAAUGCGCGAAAGCGCGACGAGGGGAUUCCAAGUGCAUGCACUAAGUGUAUGCUUUUCGUGAGUUUAAAACGCUCACGGAAUAAGGGCUGGGUAAGACUGGUGCCAGCCGCCGCGGUAAUACCAGCGGCCCUAGUGGUGAUCGUUAUUAUUGGGCCUAAAGCGUCCGUAGCCGGUCCGGUAAAUCUCUGGGUAAAUCGUUGGGCUUAACUCAGCGAAUUCUGGGGAGGCUGCUGGACUUGGGGACCGGGAGAGGUCGGAGGUACUCCAGGGGUAGGGGUGAAAAUCCUGUAAUCCUUGGGGGACCACCGGUGGCGAAGGCGUCCGACCAGAACGGGUCCGACGGUAAGGGACGAAGCCCUGGGGCGCGAACCGGAUUAGAUACCCGCGUAGU